rnacentral:rRNA from 1 species
GUGCCAGCAGCCGCGGUAAUACGUAGGGUGCGAGCGUUGUCCGGAUUUAUUGGGCGUAAAGAGCUCGUAGGCGGUUUGUCGCGUCGCUCGUGAAAACUGGAGGCUUAACCUUCAGCUUGCGGUCGAUACGGGCAGACUUGAGUUCGGUAGGGGAGACUGGAAUUCCUGGUGUAGCGGUGAAAUGCGCAGAUAUCAGGAGGAACACCGGUGGCGAAGGCGGGUCUCUGGGCCGAUACUGACGCUGAGGAGCGAAAGCGUGGGGAGCGAACAGGAUUAGAUACCCUGGUAGUCC